GAUGAAGAACGUAGUGAAAUGCGAUAAGUAGUGUGAAUUGCAGAAUUCAGUGAAUCAUCGAAUCUUUGAACGCACAUUGCGCCCCUUGGUAUUCCAUGGGGCAUGCCUGUUCGAGCGUCAUUUGUACCUUCAAGCUUUGCUUGGUGUUGGGUGUUUGUCCUGAGGGACUCGCCUUAAAGUAAUUGGCAGCCAGUGUUUGGUUUUGAAGCGCAGCACAAGUCGCGAUUCAAAGCUAUACGCCCGCUUCCACAAGCCUUUUUCACUUUUGACCUCGGAUCAGGUAGGGAUACCCGCUGAACUUAAGCAUAUCAAUAAGCGGAGGA
rnacentral:misc_RNA from 1 species